UCUAUGGAGCAGGAGGUCACUGCUUAAACCACUGGGACCACACAGUCUAUGGAGCAGGAGGUCACUGCUUAAACCACUGGGACCACACAGUCUAUGGAGCAGGAGGUCACUGCUUAAACCACUGGGACCACCCAGUCUAUGGAGCAGGAGGUCACUGCUUAAACCACUGGGACCACACAGUCUAUGGAGCAGGAGGUCACUGCUUAAACCACUGGGACCACACAGUCUAUGGAGCAGGAGGUCACUGCUUAAACCACUGGGACCACACAGUCUAUGGAGCAGGAGGUCACUGCUUAAACCACUGGGACCACACAGUCUAUGGAGCAGGAGGUCACUGCUUAAACCACUGGGACCACACAGUCUAUGGAGCAGGAGGUCACUGCUUAAACCACUGGGACCACACAGUCUAUGGAGCAGGAGGUCACUGCUUAAACCACUGGGACCACCCAGUCUAUGGAGCAGGAUGUCACUGCUUAAACCACUGGGACCACCCAGUCUAUGGAGCAGGAGGUCACUGCUUAAACCACUGGGACCACCCAGUCUAUGGAGCAGGAUGUCACUGCUUAAACCACUGGGACCACCCAGUCUAUGGAGCAGGAUGUCACUGCUUAAACCACUGGGACCACACAGUCUAUGGAGCAGGAGGUCACUGCUUAAACCACUGGGACCACCCAGUCUAUGGAGCAGGAGGUCACUGCUUAAACCACUGCGUCAUCCAUCAACAAUGAACAGCAAAGGCCUUAAUUAAUGCCUCAGAUUAACAGCAAAUGUGUUAUUCUGUUUUAACCCAAAUCUGAUUCCUGAACCAAUCAAAACUAACACCUGAAGUGUAUUAACCCAAAUCUGAUUCCUUAAAAGAGUAGUUGACUAUUUUAAAACAUGAUGUUAGAUGGUUCCUCAUCCUGAAAGUAGUCUAAGGGCCAGGAUAAAAAGCUAUCUAUCAUUCAGUUUUCUUUAAACAGCCUUCUGCUAACUAAGAUAACCAAUAAACUAAUCAACACCAGGAAGGUAAGAUGGUUGAAU
rnacentral:lncRNA from 1 species